rnacentral:rRNA from 1 species
GUUUGAUCCUGGCUCAGGAUGAACGCUGGCGGCGUGCUUAACACAUGCAAGUCGAGCGAAGCACUUAAGUGGAUCUCUUCGGAUUGAAACUUAUUUGACUGAGCGGCGGACGGGUGAGUAACGCGUGGGUAACCUGCCUCGUACAGGGGGAUAACAGUUAGAAAUGGCUGCUAAUACCGCAUAAGCGCACAGGACCGCAUGGUCUGGUGUGAAAAACUCCGGUGGUAUGAGAUGGACCCGCGUCUGAUUAGCUAGUUGGAGGGGUAACGGCCCACCAAGGCAACGAUCAGUAGCCGGCCUGAGAGGGUGAACGGCCACAUUGGGACUGAGACACGGCCCAGACUCCUACGGGAGGCAGCAGUGGGGAAUAUUGCACAAUGGGGGAAACCCUGAUGCAGCGACGCCGCGUGAAGGAAGAAGUAUCUCGGUAUGUAAACUUCUAUCAGCAGGGAAGAAAAUGACGGUACCUGACUAAGAAGCCCCGGCUAACUACGUGCCAGCAGCCGCGGUAAUACGUAGGGGGCAAGCGUUAUCCGGAUUUACUGGGUGUAAAGNGAGCGUAGACGGAAGAGCAAGUCUGAUGUGAAAGGCUGGGGCUUAACCCCAGGACUGCAUUGGAAACUGUUUUUCUAGAGUGCCGGAGAGGUAAGCGGAAUUCCUAGUGUAGCGGUGAAAUGCGUAGAUAUUAGGAGGAACACCAGUGGCGAAGGNGGCUUACUGGNNGGUAACUGACGUUGAGGCUCGAAAGCGUGGGGAGCAAACAGGA